AAAUACACAGCCAGCGAGUCGCUUGAUUUGAGCUUCCAACGCUCAUACUGCAGCCCCUCCCUCUCCCUCUGCUACCAUGGUAACACUCUGAUACUGGGCGCACCACUCUGAUACUCGCUCGCCCCACUCUGAUACUCGCGCGUACCACUCUGAGAUUCACACAGACAGCAGCAGGUUGCAGCAAAACGUUUCUUUCUACUGACUGGACUGGAGUUAACAAAAAUCCACCAGACUUCUAGAAGACAUCCCCAACCAUAGUGGAAUGCUAUUGUAAAGGAUUGCAUUGCAUUGCAGUGCAUCAAUACCUUCACCCAGCUUUGAGGCCUCCAAUGAAUGAACAUCAUCUUGUGGCUGGGAAAAAUGUGAACAAAUAAAUCUCACAAAGAGUGA